AUACCUUUUAUCGACCUUUUGGCUAAGAUAAGGUGUAACAUUUAUUUUUAUUAGUUUAAUAUCUAAUAUGUGGACCCGCUCACUGUGACAUUAAAUUAUUUUUUAUUAGUAUUAAAUAUUAUUGUGUGCCAUCGUAGUGCAUAUGCAUUAUACUAGUAUUAGCAAAGUGCAUGCACGUU
rnacentral:snRNA from 1 species